AUGGGAAUAAACAAGUUGGAUGCUAUUCAAAGUUUAGAUGAUGCCUUCUUGGAGCUUAGACCUGGAGCUGCCCGCAAGGAGAUUAAGAGAACUGAAGAAAUGCUUAAAGAUGAGAAAUGUUGGGGGGAAACGGAUGAGGAUAUCAAUUACCACAAAGCCUUGGAAAGACAAAGGAACAAUCUCCUCCAUACUGAUGAAGUAAUUUGGAGACGAUGA
rnacentral:lncRNA from 1 species